rnacentral:rRNA from 1 species
UACGUAGGGGGCGAGCGUUGUCCGGAGUUACUGGGCGUAAAGGGCAUGCAGGCGGUCCGACACGUUUUGUGUGACAGCGGGUGGCUUAACUACCCGAGGAUACGAAAGACGGUUGGACUUGAGGACUCGAGAGGGACACGGGAAUUCCGGGUGGAGUGGUGAAAUGCGUAGAGAUCCGGAGGAAGCACCGAAACGGAGCGAAG